CCUACGGGUGGCAGCAGUGGGGAAUAUUGGGCAAUGGGCGCAAGCCUGACCCAGCAACGCCGCGUGAAGGAAGAAGGCUUUCGGGUUGUAAACUUCUUUUAAGAGGGAAGAGCAGCAGACGGUACCUCUUGACUCAGCCACGGCUAACUACGUGCCAGCAGCCGCGGUAAUACGUAGGUGGCAAGCGUUUUCCGGAUUUACUGGGUGUAAAGGGCGUGUAGCCGGGCUGACAAGUCAGAUGUGAAAUCCGGGGGCUCAACCCCCGAACUGCAUUUGAAACUGUUGGUCUUGAGUCCGCGGAAAGCAGGCGGAAUUCGUCGUGUAGCGGUGAAAUGCUUAGAUAUGACGAAGAACCCCGAUUGCGAAGGCAGCUUGCUGUAGCGGAACUGACGCUGAUGCUCGAAAGCGCGGGUAUCGAACAGGAUUAGAUACCCCUGUAGUC
rnacentral:rRNA from 1 species